rnacentral:rRNA from 1 species
AUUGAACGCUGGCGGCAUGCUUUACACAUGCAAGUCGAACGGCAGCACGGGCUUCGGCCUGGUGGCGAGUUGCGGACGGGCGAGUAAGUUAUCGGAACGUACCCAGCAGUGGGGGAUAACGUAACGAAAGGUACGCUAAUACCGCAUACGAUCUAUGGAUGAAACCAAGGGACCACAAGGCCUUGUCCUCCUGGCUCUGCCGAAUACGGAUUAGCUAGUUGGUUAGGUAAAGGCUCACCAAGGCGACGAUCAGUAGCUGAUCUGAGAGGACGACCAGCCACACUGGAACUGAGACACGGUCCAGACUCCUACGGGAGGCAGCAGUGGGGAAUUUUGGACAAUGGGCGCAAGCCUGAUGAAGCAAUGCCGCGUGAGUGAAGAAGGCCUUCGGGUUGUAAAGCUCUUUUGUCAGGGAAGAAACGGUGGAGGCUAAUAUCCGUUGCUAAUGACGGUACCUGAAGAAUAAGCACCGGCUAACUACGUG